rnacentral:rRNA from 1 species
AAUGAGACUGCCGGUGACAAACCGGAGGAAGGUGGGGAUGACGUCAAGUCCUCAUGGCCCUUAUAGGUGGGGCUACACACGUCAUACAAUGGCUGGUACAAAGGGUUGCCAACCGCAGGGGGAGCCAAUCCCAUAAAGCCAGUCGUAGUCCGGAUCGCAGUCUGCAACUCGACUGCGUGAAGUCGGAAUCGCUAGUAAUCGUGGAUCAGCAUGUCACGGUGAAUACGUUCCCGGGUCUU